rnacentral:rRNA from 1 species
UGGGGAAUAUUGCACAAUGGGGGAAACCCUGAUGCAGCGACGCCGCGUGAACGAAGAAGGUAUUCGUAUCGUAAAGUUCUGUCCUAUGGGAAGAUAAUGACAGUACCAUAGAAGAAAGCUCCGGCUAAAUACGUGCCAGCAGCCGCGGUAAUACGUAUGGAGCGAGCGUUGUCCGGAAUUAUUGGGCGUAAAGGGUACGCAGGCGGUUUAAUAAGUCGAAUGUUAAAGAUCGGGGCUCAACCCCGCAAAGCAUUGGAAACUGAUAAACUUGAGUAGUGGAGAGGAAAGUGGAAUUCCUAGUGUAGUGGUGAAAUACGUAGAUAUUAGGAGGAAUACCAGUAGCGAAGGCGACUUUCUGGACACAAAAUGACGCUGAGGUACGAAAGCGUGGGGAGCAAACAGG